rnacentral:rRNA from 1 species
AUCAUUACACAAUAUGAAGGCGGGCUGGACACCCCCAGCAGUGCAUUGCUUCACGGCGUGCGCGGCUGGGGCCAGCCUUAGCUGAAUUAUUCACCCGUGUCUUUUGCGUACUUGUUGUUUCCUGGGUGGGCUCGCCCGCCCUCAGGACAAACCAUUAAACCUUUUGCAAUAGCAAUCAGCGUCAGUAACAACGUAAUUAAUUACAACUUUCAACAACGGAUCUCUUGGUUCUGGCAUCGAUGAAGAACGCAGCGAAAUGCGAUACGUAGUGUGAAUUGCAGAAUUCAGUGAAUCAUCGAAUCUUUGAACGCACAUUGCGCCCUUUGGUAUUCCAAAGGGCAUGCCUGUUCGAGCGUCAUUUGUACCCUCAAGCUUUGCUUGGUGUUGGGCGUCUUGUCUCCCCGUUUUGCGGGAGACUCGCCUUAAAGUCAUUGGCAGCCGGCCUACUGGUUUCGGAGCGCAGCACAAGUCGCGCUCUCUUCCAGCCAAGGUCGAGCGUCCAGUAAGCCUUUUUUUCAACCUUUGACCUCGGAUCAGGUAGGGAUACCCGCUGAACUUAAGCAUAUCAAUAAGCGGAGGAAAGGG